GUUACUUCACGGCCACCUAUAGUAAUGCCAUGAAUACAUUCCUCUCUUUCAGGCCAAUCAGCUCUUCGACAAACAUCCCACCACUGAAUGGAGUCAACUUUCACCCCAGCGUCAUCCUCUUGCAUUUGAACUACUGAAGCAGUCCCGGUUCUCAGAUAAGAGUCACCCUGUUCUCCACCAAAUGAGGGCAUCAACUCAUAUUGAAUUAAGUGACCAGAUGGAGUAUUCAUCCUCUUGCAUUUGAACUGAUGCAGUCCCGGUUCUCAGAUACGAGUCACCCUGUUCUCCACCAAGUGAGGGCAUCAACUCAUAUUGAAUUAAGUGACCAGAUGGAGUAUAAGCCAAAAGAUGCUCCAACGGAUU
rnacentral:lncRNA from 1 species